CCAGGAGUAGCUGAUAAGCUCUUACUGCUUGGACUACAAGCUCAUUUGUAGUGCUCUUUUUAAAGCCAUAAAAUACAAAAGUGAUAGUUAGUAGCAAAACAUUGGAAGUCUGAAAAGAUGAAAAAUGGCGAAUACUAAAACUUCAGUGAGAAAAUAAAAAAUAAAUGGGCUAAACUUU
rnacentral:ncRNA from 1 species